UUAAGUUCAGCGGGUAGUCCCGCCUGAUUUGAGGUCAAAUAUGUCAAGUGUUGUCUCCGAUGAGAAGACGGUUCGAAAGCAAGCCCGUUAGACAAGCGUCGCCAAUGAUGGAUAGACUAUCACACCAGCGAACGCGAGCCAGAUGCUCACUCAUGCAUUCAAGGAGAGCCGACCUACUACAGAGGCCAGCAGACUCCCAA
rnacentral:misc_RNA from 1 species